CAACACAUGCAAGUCGAGCGGUAGCACAGAGAGCUUGCUCUCGGGUGACGAGCGGCGGACGGGUGAGUAAUGUCUGGGAAACUGCCUGAUGGAGGGGGAUAACUACUGGAAACGGUAGCUAAUACCGCAUAAUGUCGCAAGACCAAAGUGGGGGACCUUCGGGCCUCAUGCCAUCAGAUGUGCCCAGAUGGGAUUAGCUAGUAGGUGGGGUAACGGCUCACCUAGGCGACGAUCCCUAGCUGGUCUGAGAGGAUGACCAGCCACACUGGAACUGAGACACGGUCCAGACUCCUACGGGAGGCAGCAGUGGGGAAUAUUGCACAAUGGGCGCAAGCCUGAUGCAGCCAUGCCGCGUGUGUGAAGAAGGCCUUCGGGUUGUAAAGCACUUUCAGCGGGGAGGAAGGCGUUAAGGUUAAUAACCUUGGCGAUUGACGUUACCCGCAGAAGAAGCACCGGCUAACUCCGUGCCAGCAGCCGCGGUAAUACGGAGGGUGCAAGCGUUAAUCGGAAUUACUGGGCGUAAAGCGCACGCAGGCGGUCUGUCAAGUCGGAUGUGAAAUCCCCGGGCUCAACCUGGGAACUGCAUUCGAAACUGGCAGGCUAGAGUCUUGUAGAGGGGGGUAGAAUUCCAGGUGUAGCGGUGAAAUGCGUAGAGAUCUGGAGGAAUACCGGUGGCGAAGGCGGCCCCCUGGACAAAGACUGACGCUCAGGUGCGAAAGCGUGGGGAGCAAACAGGAUUAGAUACCCUGGUAGUCCACGCCGUAAACGAUGUCGAUUUGGAGGUUGUGCCCUUGAGGCGUGGCUUCCGGAGCUAACGCGUUAAAUCGACCGCCUGGGGAGUACGGCCGCAAGGUUAAAACUCAAAUGAAUUGACGGGGGCCCGCACAAGCGGUGGAGCAUGUGGUUUAAUUCGAUGCAACGCGAAGAACCUUACCUGGUCUUGACAUCCACAGAACUUUCCAGAGAUGGAUUGGUGCCUUCGGGAACUGUGAGACAGGUGCUGCAUGGCUGUCGUCAGCUCGUGUUGUGAAAUGUUGGGUUAAGUCCCGCAACGAGCGCAACCCUUAUCCUUUGUUGCCAGCGGUUAGGCCGGGAACUCAAAGGAGACUGCCAGUGAUAAACUGGAGGAAGGUGGGGAUGACGUCAAGUCAUCAUGGCCCUUACGACCAGGGCUACACACGUGCUACAAUGGCAUAUACAAAGAGAAGCGACCUCGCGAGAGCAAGCGGACCUCAUAAAGUAUGUCGUAGUCCGGAUUGGAGUCUGCAACUCGACUCCAUGAAGUCGGAAUCGCUAGUAAUCGUAGAUCAGAAUGCUACGGUGAAUACGUUCCCGGGCCUUGUACACACCGCCCGUCACACCAUGGGAGUGGGUUGCAAAAGAAGUAGGUAGCUUAACCUUCGGGAGGGCGU
rnacentral:rRNA from 1 species